rnacentral:rRNA from 1 species
AGAGUUUGAUCAUGGCUCAGGAUGAACGCUAGCUACAGGCUUAACACAUGCAAGUCGAGGGGCAGCAUGUUGGUUGCUUGCAACCAAUGAUGGCGACCGGCGCACGGGUGAGUAACGCGUAUCCAACCUACCCUUGUCCAUCGGAUAACCCGUCGAAAGGCGGCCUAACACGAUAUGCGGUUCACAGCAGGCAUCUAAGGUGGACGAAAUGUGAAGGAGAAGGAUGGGGAUGCGUCUGAUUAGCUUGUUGGCGGGGUAACGGCCACAAGGCUACGAUCAGUAGGGUUCUGAGAGGAAGGUCCCCANAUUGGAACUGAGACACGGUCCAAACUCCUACGGGAGGCA